rnacentral:rRNA from 1 species
GGCCAACCUACCCUCGGGAGGGGGAUAACCCCGGGAAACUGGGGCUAAACCCCCAUAGGGGAUGGGUGGUGGAAUUCCCCCAUCCCCGAAAGUGCACCGUUCCCGUAAGGGGCGGUGCAGCCCGAGGAUGGGGCUGCGGCGGAUUAGGUAGUUGGCGGGGUAACGGCCCGCCAAGCCGAAGAUCCGUACGGGCCAUGAGAGUGGGAGCCCGGAGAUGGACCCUGAGACACGGGUCCAGGCCCUACGGGGCGCAGCAGGCGCGAAACCUCCGCAAUGCGGGAAACCGCGACGGGGUCAGCCGGAGUGCUCGCGCAUCGCGCGGGCUGUCGGGGUGCCUAAAAAGCACCCCAUAGCAAGGGCCGGGCAAGGCCGGUGGCAGCCGCCGCGGUAAUACCGGCGGCCCGAGUGGCGGCCACUUUUAUUGGGCCUAAAGCGUCCGUAGCCGGGCUGGUAAGUCCUCCGGGAAAUCUGGUCGCUUAACGAUCAGACUGCCGGAGGAUACUGCCAGCCUAGGGACCGGGAGAGGCCGGGGGUAUUCCCGGGGUAGGGGUGAAAUCCUGUAAUCCCGGGAGGACCACCUGUGGCGAAGGCGCCCGGCUGGAACGGGUCCGACGGUGAGGGACGAAGGCCAGGGGAGCGAACCGGAUUAGAUACCCGGGUAGUCCUGGCUGUAAACGAUGCGGACUAGGUGUCACCGAAGCUACGAGCUUCGGUGGUGCCGGAGGGAAGCCGUUAAGUCCGCCGCCUGGGGAGUACGGCCGCAAGGCUGAAACUUAA